rnacentral:rRNA from 1 species
UACGUAGGGGGCGAGCGUUGUCCGGAUUUAUUGGGCGUAAAGAGCGUGUAGGCGGCCAGAUAAGUCCGCUGUGAAAUCUCGAGGCUCAACUUCGAGCUGUCGGUGGAAACUAUCUGGCUAGAGUCCGGAAGAGGAGAAUGGAAUUCCUGGUGUAGCGGUGAAAUGCGCAGAUAUCAGGAAGAACACCCGUGGCGAAGGCGGUUCUCUGGGACGUUACUGACGCUGAGACGCGAAAGCGUGGGGAGCAAACAGG